CCUACGGGAGGCAGCAGUGAGGAAUAUUGGUCAAUGGACGAGAGUCUGAACCAGCCAAGUAGCGUGAAGGAUGACUGCCCUAUGGGUUGUAAACUUCUUUUAUAUGGGAAUAAAAUGUUCCACGUGUGGGAUUUUGUAUGUACCAUAUGAAUAAGGAUCGGCUAACUACGUGCCAGCAGCCGCGGUAAUACGGAGGAUCCGAGCGUUAUCCGGAUUUAUUGGGUUUAAAGGGAGCGCAGGUGGAUUGUUAAGUCAGUUGUGAAAGUUUGCGGCUCAACCAUAAAAUUGCAGUUGAAACUGGCAGUCUUGAGUACAGGAGAGGUGAUCGGAAUUCGUUGUGUAGCGGUGAAAUGCUUAGAUAUCACGAAGAACUCCGAUUGCGAAGGCAGUUGACUGGACUGCAACUGACACUGAGGCGCGAAAGUGUGGGUAGCAAACAGGAUUAGAUACCCCUGUAGUC
rnacentral:rRNA from 1 species